ensembl:lncRNA
CUGAGGAGCACUUAAUUCUCAAGACUGGAAUUCACUGGAAGACUGCUGAUUUUAUUUCUUUUCAUGAUUUUAUUUCAAUUUAUUUCUCUAAUUCUUUUACAUUUUGUUCUGAAAUGUGAAUAUGGUUUUGUAGUAUGUUUCUGAACCCCACACAUCACUUCAGAGAAGAGCUCUUUGUGAAUGGUGAACCGUGUGAGAACUUUUUUUUGAAGCAAUCAAAGCAGCAUGUCAGCAUACUCUAGUGUAGUGUUGUUCUUUCCUUUCUUUCUGCGUGUUUAGUAUUGCAAGGAAUCCUUGAGAUCUAUAACGGAGUUUAAUUUUAGCGAAAUAGAUAUCUUGUAAAACAGCUAUGUAGUGCUAACAUAAUCUUGGUGGCCAUUAACUUGCAUGAAUUUUGGCAGCAUUUUUUGGUGAAUUUUAUUUUUCAUUUGAUUCUUGGUUUCUUUUCUACUGAAUGCUGGUGAAUUAUGCUACCGCUACUGAUUUUCAGAGUUUUGUAAGUGUAUAUGACUAUUUUUGUCUCUAGAAGAUGAUUAUGAUAAAUUCUGACUAUCACAGUAAACCGUGUCAUGAUGAUUGUAUGGCAUGCUUUGUACAGGGUUUCGGUGUUGUCUGAGCAGUGUUGGGCAAUCCUAAUUGAAAUGUGCCAUGAGGUAGCUUUGAAAUGGGUGUUUCAGAUACACUUUUUCAAUAUCUGAAUCUCUUCAUGUUAGUUUGCAUAAUGUUAGCAUCUCUGGUGGUGGACCUGGGAAGAAUUCAGCAUGGAUUAAAUCCAGGGGUGGAAAACAUACUGAGAAAUUAUACUUAAGUGAAGAUGUAUGCAUCCUAAAAUGUACUCAAGUAAAAGUUAAAAAAAAAAAAAAAAAAAAAACUUUUCUAAAAUUGAAAUGUACUUAAAUAAUAAAAAGUUAAACUUAAAUGUUUUUAACCGAUGAAAUUAAGUAUUGUCAUGUUUUCAUAUGAAAACUAACUUCUCUUACUUAUUUAUAAUUGUUAUAAGCAACUAUGCCAUUUUGCCUGAAAACAUCAUUCAGUUUCUGUAGGUUUGCUGAUUAUGUGCAUGACUAAUGCUAUGUAGUUUGCUAAAGAAUUAAUCUGAAAUAAAAUAUCAUGUACAUAACCAACAUUGACCUUUAGCUAGAAUUUGAAUUCCAGUAGCCAAUUAUGUUAGCUACUGGAAUUGAUGCUAGUCAAACAUGGCUACCUUAGUCAAAUAUAGGCAGUUAAGGAUAGCAAAUUAGCUAAACUUAUCUCAACAUGCUUUCAUGCCUUCUAGGGACGCAAAGGAGACGUCUCGUUUGUAUACUAACUAUUCUUUUUCUCCAGCAUAUUGAAACAUUUUACUGAGCCAGGGCUAGGGGGUGUGUGGGUGUGUGGGGGGUUCAUCCAUGGUAGUUCAACACUGCAGUCUGGUCUCUUAUCCAUAUUCAGACACACACUGAUUGUGUAACAUGAGAAGCUCAGCGCAGAUGGCAAAUUAGCACGAUCGUGGAUAGUUUUUACGUUGCUGAACUUGACUAGAUGCCUUAAAUUGAAAUGAUUGCUAAACUGUAUCCAUUCUAUCCAUGUUUAGCGUAUACUCAAUGGCUAGAUGAGAGAAGAAGAGACCUGCAAGGACUAAAUAAGACCCAAGUAGUAAAAAGUAAGGUUUUUCUUAGAAUUGUAAUUGAUUAUGAGAACAAGUAUUCCAUUUCAGUAACACUCAGGUAAAGUAUAAAUAUGCCACAAUAAUAAUAUUACUUAUUGAGUAUAGUAACAGAGUACAAUUACUCAAGUAUUUUCCACCCCGAGCACAUGCAAUGCCUAUCUGAGAAUUUCCCCACUGGUGGCAGUAUAAAAUCAUUCGUCCCAUCCACCAAUAUCUGUACAUAUCGCAAUAGACCGUAAGAAAUUCACCAGCUAAGCAAAAAUGUGACUUUUGGUAUUUGCAGAUCUUGCAAUUUCACCUCCUGAAACAGGCAACUAAUUUUAGAUAAAGCAGCGUUAAGGAAUGAGUCUGUUAAGGAAUGAAUGAUAUAACCUCAUGGCCUAAAACAGGGUGUGUGUGUGUGUGUGUGUGUGUGUGAGGGUGAAUGAAUCAGAAGUGAAUCAGUACUGUGUUUCACAUACAGUGCUACCUUGCUGCUCUUACAACAUCAAGCCAAUAACUUUGUAGUGUUAAUUCCAGAAUUUCCCUCUUUUGGUUAUAGUCGGUUGUUGUUUUCUUUUGUUUUUUUGUUUGUUUAAAAAAAUAUAUAUUCGUACAACACUGAGCCUUCAAAAAUGUAUCAUUCAGGUCUCAUUUUUGG